GACAGAGGAUGCAAGCGUUAUCCGGAAUGAUUGGGCGUAAAGCGUCUGUAGGUGGCUUUUAAGUCCGCCGUCAAAUCCCAGGGCUCAACCCUGGACAGGCGGUGGAAACUACCAAGCUGGAGUACGGUAGGGGCAGAGGGAAUUUCCGGGUGGAGCGGUGAAAUGCGUAGGGAUCGGAAAGAACACCAACGGCGAAAGCGACUCUGCUGGGCCGACACUGACACUGAGAGACGAAAGCUAGGGGAGCGAAUGGG
rnacentral:rRNA from 1 species